UAUACUGUGUAUAAACAAACAUUUGUCAGUUUUAUUUUGAAUGAGUUAUUGCAUCAGUGCAGAGUGGCAUGGAGACGAACAGCCUGAGAAAUUGAAGCCGAGUUUUGCACAUCUGGAGUUCAACAUGUUGGCCCAUUCUUCUCCUGCAGUCUAACCAAAACUCAGUCAGAUGGGAUGGAGAGAGCAUGUGGACACAGUUUUGAGUCUUGACACAGAUUCUCAAAUGCAUUUAGGUCAGUAAACAUGUAGAAGACGAUCUGAUGAGGCCAAAACUGACAUCUUUUUGGCUUGCAUGCAAACAUCUAGAGCUUGGGACAUUUUAUAACCUGAACCUGCUUCAAUUUUCUCUGCAUCUUUAUCUCUUACCCAGUUGGAGUGCUUCAAGCUGCUGUUUGUUCAACAACAAACUGCUGGACUGUAUUUACUGAAUAUCUGGCUUCUUAAAGCAAAAGAUUGCACUGGAUUUUAUUUAGGAGUAUCAGAAUAAAAGGGCGCCAGAACAAAAGUGCAUACCAGA